rnacentral:lncRNA from 1 species
CGAAAUGCUACACAGUACUCAUGAUCUUGAAGGACCACAACCUAACCCAUGACUUAUAUCUGUGCCUGUAUACUACAUGAUAUACUGUAUAAUGCGGAAACAUUAACUGAAAGGCCAUAAGGUUAAAACUGUAACAUAAUAUCUGAUAAAUUAUAACAUCUAGCAAAGGGUAUAAAUGGCUAAAACAAAAUUGUCUGAAUAUACUGUAGUCAGAAAAGCCUUUAAAAAAUAACUGUCUAAAUAAGGAGAUAAUGGGACAUGUCCCCAACUAACUCUAAUUAAUAAACUAAUUAAUAAGAUAAUAAAUAAAUAAUCAUGUCCUCGAAAGAUGAGGACUCAUUGUUAACUCUGACUGCGAAGAUUGGAAUGCUACUGGUACUCUGGAGCUCGUGCUUCUGAACCUAUGGUAUAAGACACCAUAGCACAAAUGUGUUAGUACUUUGAAUGUACUAGUAUGCAUGUGAGGUAGGCUGAAUGCAAAGGGUUUACAUGCAUGAGUUAUAAUAACUGACUGAAUAAUAUGAAUGUGAGAAUGCAUGCAUGAAUACAUAAUAACUAUAACUAGGGUCGUGAUAACGUGAUUACUGAGUCUGAGUACUGAUAACAUGAGAUAUUGAUAACUUUAUAACUAAAAUAACUGAUACUGAGCAACUAUAUCUAACAGUCUAGGUUCCAAGGGAACUAGCUGAGUUCCAUACUAUUCUUAGUUGACUGUAUCUGACUGCCCUAAAUUCUGUAGAUUUAUCUAAGUUCUAUUACUGAGGCUGAAUGACUGUAUCUGAAAAUCGUGAUUCUGUAACCAAAACUAUGGAAAGUAGUCAUCUUAACGACAUACCCCUAAUACGCCAUUAUGGCUAAGUUGGGGUCCAAUCUAUAACCCCAAUUAGAAGGGUGUCAAUACCGCACCACAAGAAAGGACAAUCUGUGAGUAACCCUCAUAUAACAAGUAACUCUAGUGAGAACGAGGGGAACCCUUAUAUAACAGGUUAAUCUUCCUUAUCUAGCCUCAUAUAAUAGGCUAUGAUGUCUCAACCUAUCCUUGCUAUGUUGUUCUGGAACACAAGGAUUGCUUUUAAGAAUCACUCCCUCCUAUAAUAGGUGAGUUCCCAUCCUUAGGUUCACUCGGUGCUAAUUCCUACUCCUAUCUGAAUAGACACUGAACAUGAUUAACUGAACUAGACUAGACUGAAUUCAGGGAGUUCUGUUAGCUGAUGGAAUACUAUUGAGAUUACUAAAUUACUGAGCUUUCCUGAGUCACAUGACUGGCUGGGUUCUAUGGACCAUGGAUUAACUGAGCAUAUUGUUAUAACAUGACACUAAAUCUAUUCACAUAGCUAUAUUUUUUGGGUACAAGUACCCCCAAAACUCAAUGGAAGGAAACUAACAAGGCAUGACAUUAUGGAAUACAUGACCAACAUCAACAAUCCAUGAUAUAAUAGUUGGAGAUAUUUCAUGGGGAUAUGAUUAUUAUAAUAUGGUACGCGAAUAAGAUAGCACGUAUACAUAGCAUGAUUUCAUAAGGCUAAAUCAUGAGCAAUCCAACAAACAAAUUUCAAUACAUAAGAAUAACAUGGAAGUCAUUUUGGACCACAACUUAGCUAUAGUGUAUAAUAACUAUCUUCCUAGGCAUUUUAUCAAACACCUUGAUUUCACAAUUAGGGCAUAGGCAUAAUUAUCAAAUUGACAUAGUAUAAAUAACUUAAUUUAUGGAUUUCACUCACUUGCUAAUAUAGUUUCAUGAAGAAACACAUAAAUAUUCCCACGUGGGAAUCAUAUAACAAGAUAAACAUGGUUACAACGAAACCACAACAUAAAUAAUAUGAUUCAUAAAUUAAAAUAGGGUUCUUGAACUUUAUGGAUGAAAGGAAUCCAUAAAUCAACACAACGCAUACCUUUGUUCUUCAUUUAGCGAAGAUUAACGGAGAGACUUUCUUGAAAUUGAAUCCCCAAUUGAAAGCCUAGCUUGUUCUUGAUUGAAAAUUGAGAGAAACUAGUUUAUUUUGGGUUCCAAAUAGCUGAAUCUAGUGUUAAAAGGAUUCAAUAGGGGUGGGAAGUUGACCCUUUUAACCCUGGAUGCGUCUUUUAAGUUGGUAAAAAUUUCUCAGAAUGGACCCCUGGCGCGACACAGCGCUAUCGCGCCGUGUCACUGGAAUUUGAUAAUAGGGAAAUUGAGGGAUGGUGCGAUGAGGAGCCAUAGCGUUGCCACUUUGUUUGUGACCUGGAAGUUUGGCGCAAUGCGCCACUAUCAUGGAACCCUAUUGGAAUUUGACAAAUGCCAUUUUUUCUUGUGGCGCGGUGGGCCACUGGAUAAUAUGGCAUUGUUUUACGACGGGAAUUUGAAAUAGUCAUAACUUCUUACCCGAUUAUCUGAUUUAGGCAAAUCUUAUAUUGAUGAAAAUCUUAAAAAUUUCACAUGUACAAAAGUGGAUUCAUCUUCCAAAGUAAGUUUCUAACAUUCUUGGGACGAUAUCAAGAUAGGUAGAAAUACAGGGUAUUACAUUUCUCUUGUGCAAUCUUACAAUAGGUGAAUGAUGCUAUGUAUGGUUCGGUUGAAAAGUUGCCUCUAGAGUAUGGUCCAAUUCCAAAAGGUGGGGAACAAUGCCCUGGGAGUUUAGAUCCUGUGUCAUAACCACCCUAAAUAAUUACAUUGGCCUCAUUCAUAGUAGUCCAAUACAAAAUCCUAUCACCAAAUUCCUUAAAGCAAACAUCCUCAUAAAUAAUAAAGUCUUUGCUAAAAAGAAAAAAUGAUAUAUCAAGUAGAAAUUAGUCAAAUAUACUAGAAUUUAUACACUAGAAUUUACACAGAGAUCACUAUAAGUAUUUGCUUUUAGGACAUUAAGAUAGUCUAUUGGAUUUACUUGCUUUCAACAGUCAAGAAUAAAUUACAAGAACAAACCCUAUGCAAUCCCACAAGUGGGGUCUGAGGUGGGUAGUAUGUACCAUUAUCUCUACCUUACCAUGUAGAGAGGUUUUUUCUAGUAAACCCUUUAAAGUUUUCAACAGCAACACAUGGGAAAACACUAAACUGAAAAAACAACUAUCACCAAAGAAAAAUUAACGGAUAAUUAUUUCACUCUAUAUGGGGGAAAUGGAGUACUAUAUUUGACCAUAACAGGUUUUACCAACCAAACACUCUUUUUAUCUUGUUCUUUUUUUUAAUCCAAGUAACUAAACAAAAUGUUCUGUUGGCACUUUAUCAAAAAUGAAAUGUAAAAGUUGAAAAACUACACAUAUGUAUUCCUAUCAAGCAUUAAAAACUACUCAUAGGACAUCUCCUCCCACUUAUGGACAAACUGACCAGAAAAAGAAAGGGGGUACCUUAAGGCAAUAAAGUAUAACAUACAAAUCUAACAUUUUUGAAUUCAACUAUUUUCCAACAUCACAUUGUCCCUAGGAAAAUAUGCUAGGACUUCAACUAUCUUUCAACAGUAUAGAUUUUUCUAUAUUAUAUAUGCACUACUUAUUUUAAUUGUCUACAAGAAACGCUGGCAAUUGUAGCCUGAACUAAAACUAGUUAUCCAUACCUGCUCUGGUGGUUUUCUCAAGGAAGGAGAAAUAUAGACAAUGUCCAUGAGACUAUAACCUAAAAUAAUAUCCUUGAGUAUUCUACUGAUACCAAGCAACAGUAAAAUUUUAGCUCCUAGUGAGGAACCACUAGCACAUGUCGAAAAAAGCAUGAUUAAACCCUACAAGACUUAUCAAGUGAGAAUACUGCCACCAAAGUUGUAAAUAACCAACAUGUUGAAGAUUUAAACGUACUAUGUAGGUUGACAUACUGAGUGAAGCUUGUACAUUACCAGAGUUACUGGUUGAGAUGAGGGAGGCAUCUUAGGUAACAAGUCCAUGUUUACAAAGUUCAUCUAACUUCUCUAGGUAUGAUGCAAAUACUUAAGCAAUACAGGUCAAGUAGAUAGAAUCAUACUCUAAUACCCGAAGACACAAACACCAAUAGAUGAACUUAAAGAAACAAAGUGACGUUUGACCAAAGUAAGUAGGGGUAAGAAAAGAGGAUAUAGCUUCCUGAAAUGAGAGCAUAGAUUUACUUUUGCAUUAUGAUACUGAAGGAAAUUUAUCAAAAUAGGAAUAACUUCCAUGACAAAUUCAGACGCAUCUGACGGAAUCUUCUUCCAUAUAUUAGCAGCAGUUGCUAAUGCUACUCUUUAUUAAAAAGAUCUGGAAGAUUUCUUAUUUCACAAAAAUGGAAUUCCAUAAGAUCAUGAAAGGAAUUCUUCUACCUAAACUCCAGUGAAAAAGAUAUCAUGAUAAGAACACACAGCUAUCAGUGCACCAUCCCUUAAAUAAGUAGUUGGAUGCUUUACAGAUAUCUUCUUUAGAGAUUGUAAAUACUAUUAAAGGUAAACAUUAGCAUCUUAGCUGGAAAAAAUAAUCUUUAAUAGGUACACAAACGUUCCACUCAAACUAAUUGACUCACCUAUUCAACCAAGUCCAUCUAUUCAAUUGUAAGCAGGCGAGCUACAGAUCUUGAAACAACUCUAUAAUGGACAACAACAACACCAAAAACAAGGAAGAACAUCAACCAAAUGGGUAAGAGCUUGGGUGGCAAGAAGCAUAAUGUCAGGAUUUUUCUUGUGAUUGAGCAGUCUUACAAGUGCCGAUACAAAUGAAUCCACAGAAAAUGUGCACACGUAGUCUUUUGUUUUAAUAGAAAGCUUCUCACACAGCUUCAUCAAAGCCUCUACCCAUUUUCCUUCCUCGCCAUCUGCCCUUAAACCAACUAAUAUCUUCUUGAUCCAUAUACUCUGGUGAGACAAUGAUGCUGACCCCAUUGUAGAGCUAGGGAGUAAAUCAUCCAAUCUAACACCCAAUUUCUUCAUCAUUCCCUAAUGUACACUACUAGUUGAAGUCAAAUUCUGGUACAAAAUCCCAACACCACCUUCACUCCCAUUAUCAUCAUCCUCACCACCAGCACCACCACCAUAAUCUAUAUUUAAUCCCAGACUCUAUUCAAUAUCCCUAUCCCUGACUCUAACCUCAUGUCAUUUCUUCUAACCUAAUUCUCUUUUUUAUCAGUAAAUAAAGCUAUUCCAUCAGUUUUUAUGUCACUUAUUAUGUUUGAUAAUGUACAGUUGUACUAUUUGUAAGAUCCAAAAAGGCAAUUUAGGAGUUAUUACUUUAUUUGUUAGAAUUAACAGAGAGUACCUAGUAUGGGACCACUAAGUACACAGAGAUUACAAGAAUUCCACAAACUGUAGAAUUUCACCCUACAACUCAAAGAAAAAGAUAUCAUGGCCCAGAGUUCAUACGUUAUCAAGUUAUAGAAAAUAUUUUUAAAAACCACUCUUUAAGAGAAUAAUCACAAAAAAUUUACACUUUACAAGAAAUUAGGGCACUAAAAUCCUACGACACUUUGCAACAAGCAAAAACAUACUGUUAGAAACUUAAAAUUAGGGCUCUGAAUUCUAAUGGCACUGAAAUACCUAUUUCAAUAGAUGGCUAGGGUUCAAUCAAAAGUGGUCAAAGAAAUGGUGGUCGAAGCACUCAUAGUUGGAAUAGUAGUCGAUCAGAGAACUGAUUUAAUAUAUGAAGUAGUCGAUUGAUCAGAGACCCAAAGUUUUUGUAAAUUUUGAGAUGCGUACUAGAUCCUGGAGCCUGGAGCACUGAUUUAAAGACCAGUCGAUUUAGAGCAGUCAAUCGAUCUAGAGCAGUCGACGAUUGGAAACCCAAACUUUCUAAUUUGAGAUUUACUUAGUAGUGUUUAACCCUCUAAUUUGGCGCACUGGUGGGGCUUUUGUUAAGACCCCAAAGUGGGU